rnacentral:rRNA from 1 species
GGCGAGUGGCGAACGGGUGAGUAAUAUAUCGGAACGUACCCAAGAGUGGGGGAUAACGUAGCGAAAGUUACGCUAAUACCGCAUACGAUCUAAGGAUGAAAGCAGGGGACCGCAAGGCCUUGUGCUCCUGGAGCGGCCGAUAUCUGAUUAGCUUGUUGGUGAGGUAAAGGCUCACCAAGGCGACGAUCAGUAGCUGGUCUGAGAGGACGACCAGCCACACUGGAACUGAGACACGGUCCAGACUCCUACGGGAGGCAGCAGUGGGGAAUUUUGGACAAUGGGCGCAAGCCUGAUCCAGCAAUGCCGCGUGAGUGAAGAAGGCCUUCGGGUUGUAAAGCUCUUUUGUCAGGGAAGAAACGGCAGUGGCUAAUAUCCAUUGCUAAUGACGGUACCUGAAGAAUAAGCACCGGCUAACUACGUGCCAGCAGCCGCGGUAAUACGUAGGGUGCAAGCGUUAAUCGGAAUUACUGGGCGUAAAGCGUGCGCAGGCGGUUUUGUAAGUCUGUCGUGAAAGCCCCGGGCUCAACCUGGGAAUUGCGAUGGAGACUGCAAGGCUUGAAUCUGGCAGAGGGGGGUAGAAUUCCACGUGUAGCAGUGAAAUGCGUAGAGAUGUGGAGGAACACCGAUGGCGAAGGCAGCCCCCUGGGUCAAGAUUGACGCUCAUGCACGAAAGCGUGGGGAGCAAACAGGAUUAGAUACCCUGGUAGUCCACGCCCUAAACGAUGUCUACUAGUUGUCGGGUUUUAAUUAACUUGGUAACGCAGCUAACGCGUGAAGUAGACCGCCUGGGGAGUACGGUCGCAAGAUUAAAACUCAAAGGAAUUGACGGGGACCCGCACAAGCGGUGGAUGAUGUGGAUUAAUUCGAUGCAACGCGAAAAACCUUACCUACCCUUGACAUGUCAGGAAUCU